AUUAAACGCUGGCGGCAUGCCUUACACAUGCAAGUCGAACGGCAGCACGGGGGCAACCCUGGUGGCGAGUGGCGGACGGGUGAGUAAAGCAUCGGAACGUAUCCUGGAGUGGGGGAUAACGUAGCGAAAGUUACGCUAAUACCGCAUAUUCUGUGAGCAGGAAAGCAGGGGAUCGCAAGACCUUGCGCUCUGGGAGCGGCCGAUGUCGGAUUAGCUAGUUGGUGGGUAAGGGCCUACCAAGGCGACGAUCCGUAGCGGGUCUGAGAGGAUGAUCCGCCACACUGGGACUGAGACACGGCCCAGACUCCUACGGGAGGCAGCAGUGGGGAAUUUUGGACAAUGGGCGCAAGCCUGAUCCAGCCAUGCCGCGUGAGUGAAGAAGGCC
rnacentral:rRNA from 1 species